rnacentral:rRNA from 1 species
GAUUCUGGCUCAGGACGAACGCUGGCGGCACGCCUAACACAUGCAAGUCGAACGGAGAAAAUAGCUUCGGUUGUUUUCUUAGUGGCGGACGGGUGAGUAACACGUGAGGAACCUGCCUUUGAGAGUGGGAUAGCUUCUGGAAACGGAUGGUAAUACCGCAUAACAUAGCGAAACCGCAUGAUUUUGCUAUCAAAGUAUUUCGCUCAGAGAUGGCCUCGCGUCUGAUUAGAUAGUUGGUG